rnacentral:rRNA from 1 species
GCGGGAAGUGGCGCACUGCUCAGUAACACGUAGCUAACCUAACCUCAAGACGGAAAUAACCCCGGGAAACUGGGGUCAAUGUCCGAUAGAUGUGAAUUCCUGGAAUGGUGUCACAUCCAAACGUCAACACACCAUGUUGUGCGAACGCUUGAGGAUGGGGCUGCGGCCGAUCAGGCUGUUGGUGGGGUAAUGGCCCACCAAACCUUUGACCGGUAUGGGCCAUGAGAGUGGUAGCCCAGAGAUGGACACUGAGACAAGGGUCCAGGCCCUACGGGGCGCAGCCGGUACGAAACCUCCACAAUGCACGCAAGUGCGAUGGGGUUAUCUCGAGUGCUAUCUGAAAAAGGUAGCUUUUUCCAUGGUCUAAAUAGCCGUGGGAAUAAGGGGGGGGCAAGACUGGUGUCAGCCGCCGCGGUAACACCAGCCCCCCGAGUGGUAGGGAUGUUUAUUUGGCCUAAAGCGUCCGCAGCCGGCUAAGUAAAUUUCUCGUUAAAUCCAACGUCCUAAGCGUUGGGCCGCGAGAAAGACUGCUUAGCUAGAGGGUGGGAGAGGUCAGCGGUAUUCCUGGGGUAGGGGCGAAAUCCAUUGAACCCAGGAGGACCACCAGUGGCGAAGGCUGCUGACUAGAACACGCCUGACGGUGAGGGACGAAAGCUGGGGUAGCGAAUCGGAUUAGAUACCCGAGUAGUCCCAGCCGUAAACGAUGCAGACUAGGUGUUGGGUUGGCCACGCGCCGACUCAGUGCCACAGGGAAGCCAUUAAGUCUGCCGCCUGGGAAGUACGGCCGCAAGGCUGAAACUUAAAGGAAUUGGCGGGGGAGCACCACCAGGCGUGAAGCCUGCGGUUUAAUUGGAGUCAACGCCGGGAACCUUACCGGGAGCGACAGCAGAGUGAAGGCCAGGCUAAAGGUCUUGCCAGACGAGCUGAGAGGAGGUGCAUGGCCGUCGCCAGUUCGUGCCGUGAGGUGUCCUCUUAAGUGAGGUAACGAACGAGACCCGCGCCGCAUGUUGCUAACAAGUCCUAAAGGGAUGUUGAGCACUCUUGCGGGACCGCAGCCGACAAGGCUGAGGAAGGUGCGGGCAACGGCAGGUCAGUAUGCCCCGAAUCUCCCGGGCCACACGCGGGCUGCAAUGGUAGAGACAGAGGGCUGCAACCCCGAAAGGGGAAGCCGAUCCCUAAACUCUACCUCAGUUGGGAUUGAGGGCUGCAACCC